rnacentral:rRNA from 1 species
UACGGAGGGUGCGAGCGUUGUCCGGAAUCAUUGGGCGUAAAGGGCGCGUAGGUGGCCUGGUCAGUUCGUGGUGAAAGCGCGGGGCUCAACCCCGCGUCGGCCAUGAAUACUGCUAGGCUUGAGCACUGUAGAGGCAGGCGGAAUUCCGGGUGUAGCGGUGGAAUGCGUAGAGAUCCGGAGGAACACCAGCGGCGAAGGCGGCAUCCUGGACUGGUCCUGACACUCAGGAGCGAAAGCGUGGGGAGCGAUCCGG